CGGCUGCCCUUGUGCCUCACACACCCCCCUGGCCUUCUCCGUCCGGGCGCUCGCUCCGGGAGCUGAGCCGGCCCCGCCUCAGGAGCAGCAGCGGAAGAUCCAGCUUCCUUUGGUCAAGUACAACUUUCUGCCUUGGUGCUGAGAAUCCUUAAAGAUAGUAAACAGGCACAGCUUCCAGAGAGCCACAGGGAGGCUGAGAGGUGACACAGACCUGAGAGGUCAAGGUCGACAUUCCAGCCAGUGAAGUGGUGGAAGAGAAGCUCAAGAGUGGCUCUCCUGACUCGUAAGUCUGGUGUCCCUUUUCCAACCUCAGGGUAUCUCUCCUCCAGAUAAUCAAGUAGGACAGGAUGU
rnacentral:lncRNA from 1 species